rnacentral:rRNA from 1 species
GACGAACGCUGGCGGCGUGCUUAACACAUGCAAGUCGAACGGAAAGGCCCCAGCUUGCUGGGGUACUCGAGUGGCGAACGGGUGAGUAACACGUGGGUGAUCUGCCCUGCACUCUGGGAUACGCCUGGGAAACUGGGUCUAAUACCGGAUAGGACCGUGCUUUAGUGUGUGCGGUGGAAAGUUUUUCGGUGCAGGAUGAGCCCGCGGCCUAUCAGCUUGUUGGUGGGGUAAUGGCCUACCAAGGCGGCGACGGGUAGCCGGCCUGAGAGGGUGUACGGCCACAUUGGGACUGAGACACGGCCCAGACUCCUACGGGAGGCAGCAGUGGGGAAUAUUGCACAAUGGGCGCAAGCCUGAUGCAGCGACGCCGCGUGGGGGAUGACGGCCUUCGGGUUGUAAACCCCUUUCGGCAGGGACGAAGCUUUUGUGACGGUACCUGCAUAAGAAGCACCGGCUAACUACGUG